UGGACCUCAGAUCAGGCAAGAUCACCCGCUGAGUUUAAGCAUAUCACUAAGCGGAGGAAAAGAAACUAACGAGGAUUUCCUUAGUAAC
rnacentral:rRNA from 1 species